GCCAGUAUAGCUCAGUUGGUAGAGCAGCGCACUCGUAACGCGAAGGUCGUAGGUUCGAUCCCUAUUACUGGCA
rnacentral:tRNA from 1 species